UCAUGUUAAAAAUGCUAUGCGAUAUUAUCUUGGUUUACUCGACUCAAUAUUUUUCUUAAAUUUGACAAAUUUAUCCAUACAAUAUUUUUCAUAUCUAUCUCUCCGUGGGAAGUACCUUACUACCUUCAUGUCCUUCAAAAAUAUUUUUUAUAAAUAGUUUAAGAAGAAACAUAUUUUGCAUUAGGCGUCCCUUACUUUAUGGGUUUUUCGAUUUAUACUCGAGCAAAGGUAAAAGUAUUA
rnacentral:lncRNA from 1 species